rnacentral:rRNA from 1 species
GCUGGCGGCGUGUUCAACACAUGCAGGAAAAAGCGGAAAGGCCCUUCGGGGUACUCGAGCGGCGAACGGGUGAUUCCCACGUGAGUAACCUGCCCUAGGCUUUGGGAUAACCCUCGGAAACGGGGGCUAAUACCGGAUAUGACCUGUCUCUGCAUGGGGGUGGGUGGAAAGGGUUUCCGGCCUGGGAUGGGCUCGCGGCCUAUCAGCUUGUUGGUGGGGUGAUGGCCUACCAAGGCGACGACGGGUAGCCGGCCUGAGAGGGCGACCGGCCACACUGGGACUGAGACACGGCCCAGACUCCUACGGGAGGCAGCAGUGGG